CCUACGGGAGGCAGCAGUGGGGAAUAUUGCGCAAUGGGGGAAACCCUGACGCAGCAACGCCGCGUGAGUGAGGAAGGACUUCGGUCUGUAAAGCUCUGUUAAUGAGGAAAAAUGGUAGUUGGUCUAAUAGGCCGAUUAUUUGAUGGUACUCAUAGAGGAAGCACCGGCUAACUUCGUGCCAGCAGCCGCGGUAAUACGAAGGGUGCAAGCGUUGUUCGGAUUUAUUGGGCGUAAAGCGCGCGUAGGCGGACCUGCAAGUAAGAUGUGAAAUCUCGAGGCUCAACCUCGAAACUGCGUCUUAAACUACAGGUCUAGAAUCUCGGAGGGGGAAGGGGAAUUUCGCAUGUAGGGGUAAAAUCCGUAGAUAUGCGAAGGAACACCAGAGGCGAAGGCGCCUUCCUGGACGAGUAUUGACGCUGAGGCGCGAAAGCGUGGGGAUCAAACAGGAUUAGAUACCCUGGUAGUCCACGCUGUAAACGAUGAACACUAGGUAUUGGAGGAUUUGACCCCUUCAGUGCCGUAGCUAACGCGUUAAGUGUUCCGCCUGGGAAGUACGGUCGCAAGACUAAACUUAAAGGAAAUUGACGGCGUUGAGAGNGCGACGCGACACGAGGAGGAGG
rnacentral:rRNA from 1 species